rnacentral:rRNA from 1 species
UACUGGCUCAGAACGAACGCUGGAGGCCGCCUAACACAUGCAAGUCGAGCGCACCUUCGGGUGAGCGGCGGACGGGUUAGUAACGCGUGGGAACAUACCCUUCUCUACGGAAUAGCCUCGGGAAACUGAGAGUAAUACCGUAUACGCCCUUCGGGGGAAAGAUUUAUCGGUGAAGGAUUGGCCCGCGUUAGAUUAGAUAGUUGGUGGGGUAACGGCCUACCAAGUCUACGAUCUAUAGCUGGUUUGAGAGGAUGAUCAGCAACACUGGGACUGAGACACGGCCCAGACUCCUACGGGAGGCAGCAGUGGGGAAUCUUAGACAAUGGGCGCAAGCCUGAUCUAGCGAUGCCGCGUGAGUGACGAAGGCCCUAGGGUCGUAAAGCUCUUUCGCCAGGGAUGAUAAUGACAGUACCUGGUAAAGAAACCCCGGCUAACUCCGUGCCAGCAGCCGCGGUAAUACGGAGGGGGUUAG